AUGGUCUCUCAAGAGCCCUGGAAACGUGUGUCGGCGCCGCCGGAUGCGGCGACUUCUCAGUGGCUGUGGCUGGCGUUGAAUGGCACCAUUGUUGUGCGGAUGCUGAUGCCCAGCGUUGAGCCUGUCGUCUCCUAUAUUAGGGGAAGUUCUCCUGGCCCUUCCCAACUACCUCCCCUGUGCAAGUUUAUUACAACUGAACGGCCUCAAGGGCAAGUGUGCCUUCUGGUUUAAAGUUUUCUCAGAUUAGGGCACUGUCAGGUUUAUAGGGAUGAAACAGAAGCAACCAGAAGAGAAUCUUAGGCUCCCACAUCUACCCAGCUACCGCCAGCCCUUUCUGUUGUUUGCUGGAUCCCACCCUUACUGAGGGGCAUCUUUCAGCAAUUCUUUCCUCCUUGGUUUUGCAUCUUCAAAGUUCUCCCACCCUUUGAAUCCACUCCAUUUAGCAUUUCACUGACACCACUCCACCGAAACUACUCUUGUCAGGCCACCAAUGACCUUCACCUUGCUCUUCAAUCGCCAUUUCCUGGCCUCUUCUUAUUUGUCCUAUCAGUAGCAUUUGAACUAGCCAGUCACUGCUUUCUCCUUGAUAAGCUUUUUUUUUUCUCUUUCUGUUUUUCUUUUUGAGAUGGAGUCUCACUCUGUUGUCUGUUGCCCAGACUGCAGUGCAGUGGCACAAUCCUGGUUCACUGCAAUCUCCACCUCCUGGGUCCAAGCAAUUUUCCUGCCUCACCCUCCUAAGAAGCUGGGGUUACAGGUGAGCACCACCGUGCCCAGCUAAUUUUUGUAUUUUUAGUAGAGAUGGGGUUUCACUAUGUUUCCCAGGCUGGUCUCGAACUCCUGACCUCUAGUGAUCCACCCAUCUUGGCCUCCCAAAGUGCUGGGAUUACAGGUGUAAGCCACCGUGCCCAGCUGAUAAACUUUCUUUACUUGGCUUUUGGGACACCACACUUUCUUCAUUUUCUUCCCGGCUCACUGACUACUCUUCCUAGUCUCUUUUCUGGUUCCUCCCAUUUCCCUGACUUUCUGGUAUUAGAGUGCCCCAGGGCUGCUUAAUUACACGCACUUCUUUGGUGAUCUCAUUCACUUUUAUGACUUUAAAUACCAUCUGUAUGUAUAUGCUGAUGACUCAAAAUUGUAUCUUCCCUGGAUUCUUAACACUUAGCUUGGCCAGAGGAUAGAAAAGUAAAUACAGCCAAUUAAUCCCGGAAAGGUGGUCAAUCAUACUCACAUUUUAAGAAAUGCAAAUCCAAACUAUAAGAAGAUACCACCUACAUAUAUGGGAUAAGCAAAAGUUUAACAUUUGACAGUCAGAGCUGGUGACCAUGUAGGAAAACAGGCCCUUAGGUACUGGUGGAGGGAAUGUAAAUUGGUGCAGCCUCCUUUGAGAAUAAUUUGGCAUAAUCUGUCCCUUAAACAAUCAUUCCCACUGCUAGGAAUUUACCCUUGGAAAUACUUUCACGACUUUUACAGGAUGCAGAUACUAGAGCAUUUCCUGCAGCACUGUAUAUUCAAAAGGGUGGAAACCACCCUUGGGUGCUUCAGGAACCACAAAAUAAAAUUUGGCAUAUCUGCAGGAUGGAAUACUAUGAGACCUAAAUGUAAACAGAGGAGAUUCUUCUGCAUGUUGGGGAUCACAAGAUUCACAAUGAUUUAUAGAAGCUGCCAACCAAAGUUUUCUUGGGGCAGUUUCCCUAGAAGUAGGAUGAAAAAAGACUUCCUUUCAUGCCCCUCCUUUUCUGUCCCCUUAUUACCGAAGAGUGAGUGCAGGAGGAUAAAAUGUGGAGGCCCCUGCUUCCUUAAUUACUGGUCUAGUCACAGCCAUUCUUGAGGCCCACUUUCUCCAUGAAGUAUUUUUUUACAUCCCAUGAUCCCAGGCACUUUAUUUCUUUAGUUCUCAACAGUAUCCCCAAAUUACCAGCCUGCAUCUGUCAUCCUGUAUUUAUUGCUGGUUUUUUUUCUUUU
rnacentral:lncRNA from 1 species